GAUUGAAGAACGUAGCGAAAUGCGAUAAGUAAUGUGAAUUGCAGAAUUCAGUGAAUCAUCGAAUCUUUGAACGCACCUUGCACCCUUUGGCAUUCCGAAGGGUAUGCUCGUUUGAGUGUCAUUGUACUCUCACACUUCUGAUCCUUUGGAUUGGGAGCGGUGGACUUGGGUGUUGCUGCUUUACUGUGGCUCACCUCAAAUGCAUUCGUGCAACUCUUGGUUGGACAUAGUACGGCGUGAUAAGUAUCUUCGCCGGCACCUCGCAAGAGGGUGGCUGAUCAGGAGCUCUGUGCUUUCCAACUGUCUUCAGACAACAACUGACAACUUGACCUCAAAUCGAGUAGGACCACCCGCUGAACUUAAGCAUAUCAAUAAGCGGAGGA
rnacentral:misc_RNA from 1 species